AAGGAUCAUUAAUGAAUAUCUAUGGCGUUGGUUGUAGCUGGCUUUUAGGAGCAUGUGCACACCCGUCAUUUUUAUCUUUCCACCUGUGCACCCAAUGUAGGUCUGGAUAACUCUCGCUCUAGAGCGGAUGCAAGGACUGUUGUGUUGAAAAGACCAGCUUUCUUUGAAUUUCCAGAUCUAUGUAUUUUACAAACCCCAAUUGAAUGACAAAGAACGUAGUCAAUGGGCUUUUUAUGCCUAUAAAACAAAAUACAACUUUCAGCAACGGAUCUCUUGGCUCUC
rnacentral:misc_RNA from 1 species